rnacentral:lncRNA from 1 species
UUAUUGAUACAUCUUAUUCCAUCGGAAAUUAUGAGAUUCAUUUUUUCUGGAAAUGGAUAAACGCAAAUAUAUUUUAUACUGCGGGAAGUAUCAUUCUUGGAUUCAUGAUGUUGUUAAGAAAAGGCUUACUGGAUGAUUUUCUGCUUAGGCCACAAUAGAGCCUCUGUCAGGUACUUGUGUAGGUUUUAUUGGUAUACUAAAUGGCACUAUGGUUGGCAAAAGCAACUAUUCUCGUCAAAAGAUAUUCAUCACUUGUCCUUGUGGGUUCAGCUACGGAGAAGUUUGCCUUAAGAUCAAUUUGUGACAAAGAAUCUACUCUCAGCUACAAUAUCAGAAAGCUACAUGUACCAGGUGUAAGCAAUGAACAGCAUCUGGGUUCUUAUCACCAUCAUAUAUGUACAAGUAGUAGCUCGAAAAGGACAUGGUUGGAAGAAUCUUCUCG